UAGGGAAUCUUCGGCAAUGGGGGGAACCCUGACCGAGCAACGCCGCGUGAGUGAAGAAGGUUUUCGGAUCGUAAAGCUCUGUUGUUAAGGAAGAACGAGUGUGAGAAUGGAAAGUUCAUGCUGUGACGGUACUUAACCAGAAAGGGACGGCUAACUACGUGCCAGCAGCCGCGGUAAUACGUAGGUCCCGAGCGUUGUCCGGAUUUAUUGGGCGUAAAGCGAGCGCAGGCGGUUAGAAAAGUCUGAAGUGAAAGGCAGUGGCUCAACCAUUGUCGGCUUUGGAAACUGUUUAACUUGAGUGCAGAAGGGGAGAGUGGAAUUCCAUGUGUAGCGGUGAAAUGCGUAGAUAUAUGGAGGAACACCGGUGGCGAAAGCGGCUCUCUGGUCUGUAACUGACGCUGAGGCUCGAAAGCGUGGGGAGCGAACAGG
rnacentral:rRNA from 1 species